UGUUUUUGUAGUGUUUCCGUUUUUACUGUCUGUGCUGGAUAAGACUGAGCAGACACCCAGGCUUUGUGUUUGCUGUUUUCUGUCUGGUUUCCUGGAUGCUGAAGGAUUGAUGGGGAUGGACACACAACACAGUCACCCAGCACUACUGUUCACCUGGACGCAAGAGCUGCACUGACAGAGGUCUGCGAAGUGGUCACGACAGAGUGGGUGGACAGACAGAACAUAAGAGUCCACACCAGUGAACGUCCUUGGUGCAGUGGUCAGGAGAACCAUCUAACCAAUCAGGAAGGGUGAGGGGAAAGGC
rnacentral:lncRNA from 1 species